rnacentral:rRNA from 1 species
CUUGGUAGUUAUGGUGGAGGGGGUUCCGCGCGUACCAUCCCGAACACGACUGUUAAGCCUUCCAGUGCCAAUGGUACUUGAGCCGAAAGGUCCCGGGAGAGUAGAACGCCGCCAAGC